UACGGAGGGUGCGAGCGUUGUCCGGAAUCACUGGGCGUAAAGGGCGCGUAGGUGGCCCGCGCAAGCGUGCGGUGAAAGCCCGGGGCUCAACCCCGGGCCGGCCGUGCGGACUGCGGGGCUGGAGCACUGUAGGGGCGGGUGGAAUUCCGGGUGUAGCGGUGGAAUGCGUAGAGAUCCGGAAGAACACCGGUGGCGAAGGCGGCCCGCUGGGCAGUUGCUGACACUGAGGCGCGACAGCGUGGGGAGCAAACAGG
rnacentral:rRNA from 1 species